UCCACCUGUUCAUAGCCCAUCUUUCUUGCAGCUGCUGAGAUUCAAAGGCAAGCGACAAGAAUCAGAUAUUCAAAACCUUCCAGGCUCCUGUUUGCAGCGUCUGUUUUUAUCUGAGCGGGAGACUUCUCCAGCAGACUCUUCCCCACACCUGCUUCCAAGCUCCUGCUUUCCUCAGGCCCUUUCCUGCCUGUUCUGUUCCAGAGUUCCUCCACAACAGACCUGCAGCCUUCCCAAGGCUCAACCAUGCUCCUGGCGCUCCUCCCAGUGCUGGGGUUACACUUUCUUCUGAGAGAAGCCCAAGCUCAGUCAGUGACUCAGCCUGAUGCUCUUGUCACUGUCUCCGAAGAAGCCUCUCUGCAGCUGAGAUGCAAGUAUUCCUACACUGGGGCACCUUACCUGUUCUGGUAUGUGCAGUACCCACGACAAGGGCUGCAGCUGCUCCUCAAGUACUAUUCAGGAGAAUCAGUGGUUCAAGGAGUGAAUGGCUUCGAGGCUACGUUCAACAAGAGUGACUCUUCCUUCCACCUGCAGAAAGCCUCUGCACACUGGCGCGACUCGGCUGUGUACUUCUGUGCUGUGAGCGCACAGUGUGUGGAGCUGCAGGGGGAGCAGAACACAAACACCCACUCAGCGGGUGCUCAGACUCAGGAUUUCUCUCCUCGAGGUCUUCUAAGUAUUUCUUUGGACUCGGUGAAGAGAGAAGGAAAGUUGAGCAGUCCCAACUGUCUUUGCACAGCUCAUUUCUACUUAAAAUAUCCACUGUCUGACUUUGUCUCAGAAAUCCUUUGCAUAUUUUCAAAAUUAUUUAAUGCUCAAUCAUAAUUCUUUAGAUUGAAGGAGACAGUGUUAUUAUCCAUGAGAACAAUUGUCUGAAUGGCCAUUGCUUGGACAGUGACUAGACUAAAGAGCUGAUGGGGAAAUACCAGAAGUUGGAAUUUCAUUUGUCAUUUUAUAUUUUGUCUCUACAGAAAUGAAAAGUCUGCUCUUCAGUUUUUUUGUCCUAAAAUUUGUGUUCUUUACUUAAUCUUUCAUGCUGAAUUUCCUGUAUAUACUUCUUUUGAUGCUAAAUGUACUGAUGAGAAUUGGUCUUAAUGUUUAAGCACUUCCAUUUAGGAACCAAUUUGUUACAUUGUUAGCUAUUAUAGAAAUUUACCAGAAUCAGGAAAUCUUAGAAAUCUGUCAUAAUUAUGUCAGCUCUCACAACCACUAAAAAU